UGAUAAGUAUGGGGAAGUCUUCAGUGUGU
rnacentral:piRNA from 1 species